CGAACACCUGCUACUUCCUACCCUCUUGUCACUUCCUUCCCACCCCUGAGGCAGCCAGACCUGCUCCCCAUUCCGAGAUCCCCACAGCCCCUCGGGGGCUCCCAUCGGAUGCCAUCUUCCCGGCAGAAUUCAGAUGAUGCCAACAGUGUGGCGAGCUACGAGAACCAGGGUGGGUCUGGGGUCUAGGGUAGUGGGUGGGGUGGGGAGGCUGGAGCUGUCCAGGUCAUGUUGACUCCCCUUCCUCAUAGAGCCAGCCCGUAAGAACGUGGAUGAAGAUGAGGAUGAAGAUGACUAUCCUGAGGGCUACCUGUGAGUGGGGAGGUGGGAGCUCUGUGACCUCCCAGGAGGUGGAAGAUGAAGAAGAGGAGGAUGUGGAUGGAGAGGAAGCUCCUGACUAUGAGAACCUGCAGGAACUUAACUGAAAGCCUGCUGCAGCUAUCAGUCCUGGAACUGGACUUGCUGGGGGUGUCGCUAAGGGAGUCCCAUUUGACCUCUGCCUUGCCUACAGCCUGAGAAUCUCCCCUAACUUAUUGUGACUUUGGAGCUCAGUCUGUGUCCCCAGUAUUCUGCACCUUCUGAUGAAGCCUGAGAAUGAAUCUAGUUCCAGCCGGACUAUGUCAUAGAAUAAAGGCCACGUGGCCC
rnacentral:lncRNA from 1 species